rnacentral:lncRNA from 1 species
UUAAAGUUAUAAAUGCUAUCUUCUGUGAGACCAGAGAAAAUUCGAUCCCUCAUUUUAUUUGGUGUCUGAGAAGAAAGGAGGUGUGAAAAUAACUGAAUUCAGGAACCCUACCUCCGUGGCGUCUCAUCUUCACAUCCAGAGUCUUGACAAAGGCGUUACAAAGUCCGGUUGUUGGGGAAAGUCUUGUGAAGAGCAGCUCUCAGGCUCUUAGCGUCUCCUGCUCUCCUUGGGCUAUCACUGGUGCUGUUCUGCGGUGCAGCCGCCUCUGCUCAGUGAGUCCACACCGCUCCUGGCACCACCUGUGCUGUGGUCCGGAAGGUAAUCCCGGCACCAGUCCAGGGGACACGGGAGCUGUGCUCGCCGGCCGAGCGAAUCGCCUUUCUGUGGUGCUUGUCUGCUAGCACCCGAAGAGCACGUAUCUCGGGUGCUUUGUUCAAUUCCAUGUUCGACUAUG